CCUACGGGAGGCAGCAGUAGGGAAUCUUCCACAAUGGGCGAAAGCCUGAUGGAGCAACGCCGCGUGGGUGAAGAAGGUCUUCGGAUCGUAAAACCCUGUUGUUAGAGAAGAAAGUGCGUGAGAGUAACUGUUCACGUUUCGACGGUAUCUAACCAGACAGCCACGGCUAACUACGUGCCAGCAGCCGCGGUAAUACGUAGGUGGCAAGCGUUAUCCGGAUUUAUUGGGCGUAAAGGGAACGCAGGCGGUCUUUUAAGUCUGAUGUGAAAGCCUUCGGCUUAACCGGAGUAGUGCAUUGGAAACUGGGAGACGUGAGUGCAGAAGAGGAGAGUGGAACUCCAUGUGUAGCGGUGAAAUGCGUAGAUAUAUGGAAGAACACCAGGGGCGAAGGCGGCUCUCUGGUCUGUAACUGACGCUGAGGUUCGAAAGCGUGGGUAGCAAACAGGAUUAGAUACCCUUGUAGUC
rnacentral:rRNA from 1 species